rnacentral:snoRNA from 1 species
UGAGGACGAUGCGAUAACCCCUAUUGCAUUUUGAUGCCUUUUGUUGCAGUUUGGAGUGGCGCAUUAAACAAGAGGUCUUUGCAUGAUGACU